AGGUGUUCUCACUUCUGUGGAUGGCUGCACAAGCACAGGUGGCUAUGGUGACGUAAGAAGAUUUGCUUUAUGGCUGCUGUGAAUGGAUGCUCAGGGCAGUCUUCUUCUCUCAGUGCACAGAGGCUUCAUUUGGUACCUGGCACUACUCCCAUGGAAGUCAACUGGAAGAGGCCAACAGACUUCCCUGAAAGGUGAUUAAAAUCCAGCAUCAGUGAAGAGCUGAAGGCUGGAAUAUGGGUUUGGGAGCAAGGGAGCUGGGUUCUGGUCUUAGCCCUGUCACAGAAUUGCUCUGUGACCCUGAACAAGUCAUUUCAUUUCUCCGUACUGCAGUUACCAUGUGUUUAAAAUAGGGACAAGAGUGUUUGCUAUUUAUUGUUCAAGUCUCCAAGCAAAUAAAACGUGGUAUUUAAGAGCUAACUAAGCAAGAAGGCACAGAUCCUACUCACUGGAAAUCUGUCCUAGAGUAGCAGCAGGCUGUGAGAAUGGGGCAGAACAGAGAUGCAUUUUUCAUAGAGCUUACAAAUUGCUUCUGUUCCUUUUAUAGCAGAUCACUGUCAGUGUGUUCUAAUGAAAUUUUCUUUGUGCCACUGUAACACUAAACGUAACUGAUAUUUUUUUUGCAGCAUUUCACGCAGAAAAGCUCUGCUCUUGUGCAGUGCUUGCUUGUCAGAGAUAGGUUGGAUUUGUAAUGCUGUAGAAUAACCAAUUUCUGUGGCUAUGGCACAUGUAUUUGCUAGCCUGUGUCUGUACCACCAGCCCUAGGAGCUGCACAUUGGCUAAAUAUGCACAGGACUGCUCUUGCAAUCUCUUUCAUUGCAGAUGGGUGUUACUACUGCUGCAGGUCUUCAUAGACACUCAAGCAGUGAAUUCUAAUGAUUCCAUUUGCAACUGGAAGAAACAAGACAAGAAAGUCUGAAAAAGCCCUCCAGGAGGCCCCUGGUACCAAUGGCACACAAACCAUCCUGCAAGCCCUUUGACUAAAGCUUUCUGCAGUGACAACAGUGAUGUGUCCCUAUGCUAAACUAUUCAUAGCACUGGGAAGUUUCUCCUGAUGUUGUCUGUUGAAGACUAAGCUCUUUACUCACCCUACUUGCAGAAGGUCAUAGAAUCAUAGAAUUGUUUGAGUUGGAAGGGACCUUUAAAAGCCAUCUGGUCCAACUCCCCUGCAGUGAACAGGGACACCCACAGUUCCAUCAGGUGCUCAGAGCCCCAUCCAGCCUGACCUUGGGUGUAAACAGGGACAGGGCACCCACCACCUUCUCUGGGCAAUCUCUGCCAGCGAGUCACUACCCUUAUAUCCAGUUUCCCUUAUAUCCAACCUAAAUCUCCCCUUUCAAGGACACAUUGUACCACUCCUCUUUGCAUUUGCCUCACAUGUGUUUGGCAGCUUGCUUUGUCUCCCCUUGGUCCCCUCCUCAGACCACACACUUCUCUCCCUGUCAGCCUUUCCUCAAAGCCAGGUUUUCUACACCUCCAAUCUUUCUCUUUGCACCUCUCUGGGCUUUUCCCAGCUGAGCCAUAUCUUUCCUGAGGUGUGGAAAUUGUUCUUGAGCCAAGGCCCUACUAUUGCCAAGCUGAAUGGAGAGACUGUCCUGUGCCUCCUGCUGUGUUCUUCUCUGCACAGGCAUCCCAGCACCACUGUGAUAUUUUGGCAGAGCUGGAUUCCCACAGACCUCGUAAACAUCACGGUGCUGGAUCCUUUCUGCCUGGCAGCAGCCUGGCCAAUUGCUCCUCAUCUUGUAUUGGAGAAAUUGAUUUUAACUCCCCUGCCAAGGAGUGCAACAUUUUAAUUACUUCUGUGGAUAAAGCCCAUUGUUCCCAUUCUGAUCAGGUCUUAAGAGAUAAGUAAAGCAAAGCCCAUAAGAGAUCCUGGAGAAGCUUGAGCAGGAACCCAGGCCACAAGAACACUCCCAUCCUGUACUUCUGCCAUAUGUCCCUCACCCUCCUUGUCCUUGUCCCAUUCCACCAUUGGCAUAAUUUUAAAAUCUUUCUCCUCUGUCCCUUAUUAUUGAUUUAUAUUCAGAUCUGGUGUUAGGAGUUGCAAUCUAUUUAAUCUCUGACAGGAGAAUAAUUAAGUGUCUGUGCACUAUCCCUCAGCACAGUUAGGAUACAACUGGGAAACUUGCUGGAUUAGUGGCAACUUCCCUGCUGCCAGUUCCUGUUUCUCAACACAAAUGAGUGACAUUUGGUGGCAAAAACAAGGAAUGAGAUUGGUGGCCUUUGGAAGCAAGAGAAGAUGGAGGGAUAUGGGGCCAGCAAAGCUGAGAAAUGAAGUGCAACAUUCUUUCUGAAGGACAAAAUCCCAGUUUAUUGUACACCAAGACACCUACGAGCAGAUAAAACCUUUAGACUGACUGCAAAACAACUUCUGUUUGGUUCUUCUGAUAUCCAUGGAGAAAAUCAUAGAAUCUUGAAGGUUGGAAAGACCGCCAGGUUCACCAAGUCCAACCACUGACCCACCCCCAGCAUGCCCACUGACCACAUCCCUCAGCACCACAGCUUCACAGUUCUUGAACACCUUCAAGGGCAGUGACUCCACCACCCAAUAUCCAACCCAAAUCUCCCCUGGCACAACGUAAAGCAAUUACCUCUCGUCCCACUGAGGCACUACUCAUGCUCACCAUUUCCUGGCAUCGUGACCAACAGGGCUGGUUGCUCUCACUUCUGAAUGCGUUUCACCCUGAUAAAAUGCCAAAAUAUCCAAUAGCUGAAGGCUGGGAAGCAGAGUGGGUACUUUUUACAGGCAGCAGUACCUUACCUGCACCCGUAUCAGCAGAGUGUCAGUCCUGUCUCUCUAGAAGAUGGAUGGAAUAGUGAUGGAGAACUUAACUGAAUAGUUUUCACACCUGGUACUCUUAUGACACACAGUAUGCUCUGUGCUAGGAAGCUGCUGCAGACGGCAUAUUAGGACAUCUGAGUGCAAAGCAGCUGAUAGGAGGGUGAACCAAUAAGACCAAGGUGAGUGCCUGUGAAACUUGGGAGUUGCUUGAAUGAGCCCAUCAAGGAGCCCUGCAGCAUCCCAAGGUCCUGCAGUGUAACCAGGAGGGCUGAACAGAGAGAGAGGACAGAUGAAUUGGCCCACUUUGGCUGGGGGAGACUAAAGAAAGGUCCAAUACACACUGCCAAAGGGAGGAGGAUGGACGGGGUGACACCUGAAGAUCCCUUUCAACAUCACCUCUCCAUUUGCACUUCACCAGCUGCCAGCACAUGAAGAUGGGUCUCCUCCAGACAACUUAGCUCCCAGUAAGCAAAGGCCAUGAUCCAUGGUGUAAAAGGAAAACCUGGACCCAAAACAAACAAAAGAAAAAUCACUGUGCCAGAGAUGCCCAGUUCAUUACUCAGUACAACAUAACAGAGCAAUGUUGCAAUUUGAAGCUCAGUGCAUCUGCCUUGCUCUAUAUACACUGUAGUCUUGAUUGCUUAUCACCUCCUGCUAAUGGCAGUAUUUGCCACAAAAACUUAAUUAUUUAUCUUCUCUGGGAGAGUAUUUUUCCUGAUUCAAGCCUUCAGGAGUGCAGUGCAGGAUGCAUUUGGCCCCACUGGGCAUUCUUAUACUCUCACCACUGAAAUCUGGAACAAAGGCCAAUAAUCUGGGACAAACUCUAAAAAUACAGCAGAUGCUCUGGGACGUGUUUUAUUGGUCCUUCUAUGUGUGCUUUGAGCAUGUCAGAAAGCACAAGGCCACAGGUAAGAGCUGAAAGCCAAAGCUGCAGCGUGGUCCAGCUGGCUGCAGAGACGGCAGCAGGAAGGAUGGGGUUGGUUGAAAUAUCCCCGCUGGCAUGGAUGAUUUCAGUGGCACGACGCUUCCAUGUGAACCUUCUCACUGAUGGAUUGCAAAUGGUUUUAAAGGGCCAAGUCCAGCUUUUUAAAUAAAACUUGGAAUUUGAAGGAUGAUGCUCUUCUGCCAACCAAACACCUAGGGAGGGAGGAAGGCAAGGGAGCUGGAGAGGUGAGUGUUUGGCUCUGUGUUGCUCAUACACACUGUAGAGUAGCUGUAUUUUCAGGUCAAAUAUCAACAACUGAAGACAAUGUGGGCAAAUUAAUGGUCUGACAGUGAUGGGACAAGGGGGAAUGUUCUUAAAACUAAAAAGAGGGCAGAUUUAGGUCAUAUGUGAGGAGGAAAUUCUUUACUCAGAGAGUGGUGAGGCGCUGGCACAGGCAGCCAGAAGCUGUGGGUGCCCCAUCUCUGGAGGUGCUCACGGCAGAGGUGGAGCUGGGUGGGCUUUGAGGUCCCUUCCAAUACAAGCCAUUCUAUGAUUCCAUACUAUACUCACGUAUAGAGGAUGGUAACUGAAGUGGGUGGUGGGACAUGCAACCAAAUGUGUUCUUCUGAUUGAAGGAAUGAUGCAUUCCUGGGCUUCAGACACUGCAAAACCCCAUGGCUGGCAGGCACUCAAAGGAAUGCAGCAUUUAAUGCUGCCCUGACCUGAUCCAAGCACGCACUGAGCCCGGCGAUGCUUCAUGCCUUGCCCUCCAGCUCAGCUGUGUCAGCAUCAUCACAGAAUGAAUUGAGUUAGAAGGGACCCAUCCAGUUCCAACCCUUCCAUGGGCAAACACCUCCUACCAGACCAGCUUAUCCAAAGCCCCAUCCAACCUGACCUUGGACACCUCCAGGGACGGGGCAUCCACAGCCCUCUGGGUAAAGCACAGUGAAGAAAGCACCUGAAAGGAACCUUGUGCAUGAGGCAGCCCGCUGGCUCUUUGUGUCCUGUGUUAAAGAUAGAAAACGCAGCCCUUCACCAAUUAGGCACACACCGUCAUUGCAGUCAGUCAUAUGAUGCCCAUAAUCCUCCUUGUCUGAGUGCAGAAGUCUCCAUGCUGAGCACGGACGUGCUGUGGUUCCCGGCUGCUGCCAGGGUUGGGGGUGUGGAUUAAGGCCGGGCCUCUGCUUUUUUUUUUGGGAGGCUUUGUCGUGUGGCUCUGAUGCUGCCUGCUGCUAUUUAAAAUACAACCAAAGAAAAACCACAAGGAAAAAACCCAGUUGUGGCAGCUCACAAAACUGUUGGUCUAGGGGCAUCUCAGGAACAGACCCCUUCGCCCGCUGUAACCCCCCGAGCUGUCAGCACCUGAUGCCUCGCUCUGUAGCCCGGAGCUAAGAAAAGCCCUGAAAGCAGCAGCGUCUGCCCCAUCCCUCACUAUUUUUACUGGCCCUGCUGAAGCCAGACCGCAAAGGGCAGAUUUGUCAGCACAGGGGGGGGGGCUUUUUUAGUGCAAAACCCACGAGCUUAUUCAGACAGCGGCAGGGAUGGUGCACAGGAGCGUCUGGAGGUCCCGGCUCUCAUUUAGAGCUGCUGCAAAUAUAGAAAUACCAGGGAAGUUAAUUGUAGCUCCCGACUGACAACUUAGGACACUGUUACACAAGGGCUGUUCCGAAAGUAAUGCCUCCUAUUUUGUGAUGCUGGUUCACAUCGUCAGAGGUGGAUGUUGGUAGGAUGGCAAAAGAGGUCGAACCUUUCCAACCAUAUUCCAUUACAUUUUGUUGCCAUGUGGCAGAUGGCAGCAGAGGGGCAGUCAGACAGAAUGGUGUCUGACAUGAAAGUGCCUAUAAAGAAAAGGUGUGGAAUUCAAUUUCUCCAUGCAGAAAAAAAUGGCAGCCAUUGGCAUUCAUCAAUGCUUGCUGAAUGGUUAUGGAGACCUAACAGUAGAUGUGAGCAGAGUGAAAGUCAGACUCCCAGCAAUAACUCCAUCAUAGCAGCUGUGAAACGGUGCAGAUUUGUACAAGCGUGGCAUGCAGACUUGUUCACGGCUGGGGAAAAUGCAUAGCUAAUGGUGAUGCCUACACUGAAAAACAGUGGUUUGUAGCUGAGGGUUUGCACUAUCAAAUAAUGCUAUUGCACUCUUUGUAUCAGUUGUAGUUUCCAUGGAAAUAAAUAAGAGGCAUUACUUUCGGAGCGACCUACAUGUUAUUGAGACCCGGUUCCAUGGAACGCAUUAUCGGGAAGGACUUAAUGAUGACACAACAGGUAAAGGGAGAAUUUAUUUGCUCAAGGUUACUCACAUGAAGUCAUAUACAAUUUCUGUUUCUCUUAACCCAGGCAUUUUGAGAAUGGUGCAUGCCUCCUAUCCUACCCACAGCACUGCGUGAGGAACCACGAUGGGAAAUGCAGCCAGAACACACCAUUUUGCUGCCCUGGGUCCCCCAGUCCGUGCUCCUCACCUGUUGCAGGCAAUGUGGGUUCCCUCACAGGGCUGCAGAGCGAUCAGAGGGGCUGCAUCACUGCCCUGCAUGCUGCAAAAUAAAUCCACGUCAGUGCAUAAAGGGGGAGAGAAAGGAAACGCCGGGUCCCUUCCCUCCGUAUUUUCCGUGUUUUAUAACACCUCUGUCAGCACACAUUGCCAUUCACUGCAGAAAUUACAUCUCACGAGCGCUACAAUAAGGAUUUGAAGACAAAUGACACGCGAGCACCACAGCUCUGUGCCGGCUUAAGCGAUCCCAAUACCUUCAUCACAUACGGGGUAUCGGGAUGCACGCAGCCCACUUGUUCCAAAUGCCACACGGCAAAGAUUGAGCGUCACAGGACUCCGGGCGGCACGAAACCAGCCCGGACAGAAUGUGUUUUAAAUGCAGGAGGGCUUUCAGACCGCGGGGUGCAAUGAUGGCACCUAACCCUAACCCUAACCCUAACCCUAACCCUAACCGCUACCUCCCUCCAGCCCCGUUUCCAAAACUCCUGAAGGUUGGUGAGGUUUUCGAGUGCCCUCGUGCCCAGGCUGUAACAUUCCCAUCCGCCAUACAGCUCCUGUGCUUUCAAGUUGCAAGAGGUGAAAACAUUUUAGCUUUUCGGGCGGGUAAACACCUCCCUGUGAAACAAUGUAAGCGAGGCGGGAUGCCGCCCAGGUGCACAGGGGAUAAAGGAGAACAGGGGGGGAUUGCUUACACAGGGGCAAAACUCACCCUGGGGGCCAUAGGGCACAGAUUGGGAUGCUGGGAAAGGGACUCCGUGACGGUGCUGUGAUUGAAACCCUGGGCAGCCUGGUCUAGUAUUAAAUGGGGAGGUUGGUGGCCCUGCAUGCAGCAGGGGGGUUGGAGAUUCAUGAUCCUUGAGGUCCCUUCCAACCCAGGCCAUUCUGUGAUUCUGUGUGUGAUUCUGUGACUGGGGAGCCCGACUGGAGGGCUGCGCUUCUCUUGGUCAGAGCUGAACAUGAAGGAUGGAUACUGACGGAUGCCAGCAUGUUUAUAUUUCACUGUCCCGCCCGUUCCUCCAUUCUUCAGCUGUUUCAGAGCUUGUCCUUCAACAAAACAAGCAGCCCUGUAGGAGAUGUUGGCUCACGUUUGGUCUUCCCUUGAAGCUGUGACAUUCCCUGAGCAUCAGCCAGGAACCCCUCUCUCCCCACUGCACCCAUCUCCAGUCCCACUGCACCCCCGUGCAGUCACAGAAUCACAGAAUGGUAGAACCAUUAAGGACCAAAAGACCUCUAAGACCAUCUUGUCCAACCAUCAACCCACCCCACCAUGCCCACUAUGUCUCCCAGUGCCACAUCUCCAUGGCUCUUGAUGUCCUCCAUGGUCAGUGACCCCACUGCCUCCAUGGGCAGACUGUGCCAAUGCAGGGAGCAGGGCUCAGCCCCCCGCUCUGCCCUCUCACAAACACAUCAUCUCCAUCUCAUCUCCCACCCACGCUUUAACUUACCCAGGUGCCACAACACACCUUGCUUUCUCCUGACUCCCUGCGGGCUUUGGUUUCGGUGCUGUUUGCCCCGCGUUUGUAUUAUUUUGGAUGCUUUCCUGCAACUGCACCAGCUGCACCAUCCCCAUGACCUCCCCAUGCCGUGUGUGUAAGGUUCUGUGGGUGCCCCCCCCCCUUCCACGCAGCACACACAUGAGGAGGCACGGCAGCACGAAGGAUACCGGUCAUCAGCUCCUUGCAGCUCCACUUGGGAUCCCGCUUAUACAGCUCAGAGCGCGUUCCAUGGCUGUUACACAUACACAGCUAAGUUUCCCAAAGGUGGGAAAAAAAAAAAAAGAAACCCCACCAGAAUUUCUCCUCGCAGCAAAGCGCUUCCCAAAGUUUGCAGAGAACGAUUUCCAUUUCCUCUUACCUCCCUGCAGGGCAAAAUCCCCAAAGCUUAGGUAGGGCACCCAAGCUGACCACCCCCCUUUUUCCACCCCCCUAAGACCUCUCCGGGCUCCCCAAUUCCGCACGAUCGCCUUAUAAUUGCAAGAAAUCGCGGGCGGAGCUCAGCGCCCGCAUCGCUGGCGAUGGAGAGAAGCCCGCUAACCCCGGGAGGGCCCUAACAAGGACAGCGCAGGGGCUCCCCCCGCACCCCCAGCCCCGCACCUCCCGGCGCAGCG
ensembl:lncRNA